AUUGAACGCUGGCGGUAUGCUUAACACAUGCAAGUCGAACGGCAGCACAGUAUGUAGCAAUACAUAUGGGUGGCGAGUGGCGGACGGGUGAGUAACGCGUAGGAAUCUACCCUAAAGCGGGGGACAACCCGGGGAAACUCGGGCUAAUACCGCAUAAUCUCGAAAGAGUAAAGCUGGGGCAACCUGGCACUUUAGGAGGAGCCUGCGUCCGAUUAGCUAGUUGGUGAGGUAAAGGCUCACCAAGGCGAUGAUCGGUAGCUGGUCUGAGAGGAUGAUCAGCCACACGGGGACUGAGACACGGCCCAGACUCCUGCGGGAGGCAGCAGUGGGGAAUAUUGGACAAUGGGGGCAACCCUGAUCCAGCAAUACCGCGUGUGUGAAGAAGGCCUUAGGGUUGUAAAGCACUUUAGUUGGGGAAGAAGGAUAGUUGUUUAAGAGAUGAUUAUUUUGACGGUACCCAAAGAAUAAGCACCGGCUAACUCUGUGCCAGCAGCCGCCGUAA
rnacentral:rRNA from 1 species